rnacentral:rRNA from 1 species
CCUUAAAGUCAUUGGCAGCCGGCCUACUGGUUUCGGAGCGCAGCACAAGUCGCACUCUUUUCCAGCCAAGGUCAGCGUCCAACAAGCCUUUUUUCAACUUUUGACCUCGGAUCAGGUAGGGAUACCCGCUGAACUUAAGCAUAUCAAUAAGCGGAGGA